UGCAAGGUCAAUGUAGAACUGGCCCUGGC
rnacentral:piRNA from 1 species